AGAGUUUUGAUUCCCCGCUCAGGACGAACGCUGGCGGCGUGCUUAACACAUGCAAGUCGAACGAUGAAGCCCAGCUUGCUGGGUGGAUUAGUGGCGAACGGGUGAGUAACACGUGAGUAACCUGCCCUUGACUCUGGGAUAAGCGCUGGAAACGGCGUCUAAUACCGGAUAUGACAACCGACGGCAUCGUCUGGUUGUGGAAAGAAUUUUGGUCAAGGAUGGACUCGCGGCCUAUCAGCUUGUUGGUGAGGUAAUGGCUCACCAAGGCGACGACGGGUAGCCGGCCUGAGAGGGUGACCGGCCACACUGGGACUGAGACACGGCCCAGACUCCUACGGGAGGCAGCAGUGGGGAAUAUUGCACAAUGGGCGAAAGCCUGAUGCAGCAACGCCGCGUGAGGGACGACGGCCUUCGGGUUGUAAACCUCUUUUAGCAGGGAAGAAGCGAAAGUGACGGACCUGCAGAAAAAG
rnacentral:rRNA from 1 species